GGAGCGUGACCUGGCUGUGCAGUUGGCCGUAUCUGGGCCUCUCCUGAUGUGGUGCUGGCAGGACGCCUCUGGCUGCUGAGUGAACUGUCUGGAGGAGCCCGAUGGAAGCAGAGAGACAGGUUAGGAAGCCACUGCAGUAAUGCAGGAUGAGAGGAGGAGGAAUCAACAGAGGAGACCUAGGAGGAGUGGCCAGAGAGAGAGAAGAACCAAGAGCAUCUUGGAAUCCAAGUGAAGACAGUCAGAUGCUGGCAAGGGUGUCUGAGAGGAUGGAGAGCUGGCUUUGGACUGGGCAACAUGGAGGUCCCAGGCGACCUUGACAAAGCUGCUUUGGGGACAUGGCGGAGUGAAAGCCCAGUAAGAGUGGGUCCAAGAGAGAAUGCUGGACUCCUCGCCCACUCCCUCAGUGCUUAGUCCAACUUUUAACUGUGUCCUCAAGCCUCCUCCUUCCUCACCCCUCCACUCACUCCAGGAAUCCAUCCUGUCUCCCUCGCGUCAGAUCCCCACAGCUUCCAGCUCUCAAACCCGCACAAUCUCUUGCCCUUACCUGCUCCUCCCUGCAUCCUCCUGCCAGGGUGGUACCUCCCCACCUGUGGCCUGGACCCUAUUCCAUCUUGCCUUCUCGAGGCCUCAUUCCACGAACAUCCCUCCUUUCCUGGUGUCCCCGUCCAGCCUCUCUGCUCACUGGCGUGCC